rnacentral:rRNA from 1 species
AUGCAUCUAACCUUGCAGAAGCAAACACCAGCUCUGGUUGUAAUGCUCUACCUGAAACUAAUUGUAGUCUUCCUGGUGAUGGCAUUGGCAAAACCUGCGGGUGGUGCCAUGUCCCUGGCGCUCCCAGGCUGCCCUGACAGGUGCGGUGAUGUGCCCAUCCCUUACCCCUUUGGCAUCGGCGCACAGUGUGCCGCGGUCAGCCUCAGCAGCUUCUUCAAUCUCGACUGCGAAAACACCUCCCACCCGCUGCGGCCGACGGUUGGGGGGCCAGCCGAUGUGGCCGUCAACGUUGCUGAUAUCUCGCUGGAGCGCGGAGAGAUGAGGGUGCUCAUCCCUGUCAGCUACAUCUGCUUCACAUCAAGUGCAACCGUAUCGGCGAGCAAUAACAACACCGUGGGGUUCGGCCUGGAGGACACGCCGUUCCUCCCAUCCCCUGGGCGCAACCGCUUUAUGGUUAUUGGCUGCAAUACUCUGGGUCUUGUUGGUGGUUUCCGUGGAGGCACGAGCCAGUACCUUGCUGGCUGCUACUCCUACUGCGAUGGUGCCAGUGGUGCAUCAGACGACGGAGCACCAUGCACUGGGACGGGCUGCUGUGAGGCAUCCAUCCCGACCAACCUCACCGCCUUCAAUGUGGCGUUUCCGAUUAACAGUAGCAGUGUGUGGGGAUUCAAUCCAUGCUUCUAUGCCAUGGUCGCUGAGGUCGGAUGGUACAGGUUCCAGCGUCGUGACCUCGCUGGCGAGCUUGGGUUCAUCAACAACAGGGCAAAGGACGGUGCACCUGUCAUCGUGAACUGGGCGGUUAGGAACGGAUCAUGCCUGGAGCAAAGAAACUAUGCAUGUGUCAGUGCAAACAGUUACUGCGAGAGUGCGAGCAAUGGACCUGGGUACUUGUGCCAUUGUUCCCCUGGUUACGAGGGUAACGCCUACCUGAACAACGGUUGUCAAGAUAUAGAUGAAUGCAUGCUGCGUGAGCAGGACCCCAAAUACGAAGAGUUGUAUCCUUGCAGGAACGGAGUCUGUCUUAACACUCCAGGAGGCUAUGAUUGUAAAUGCAAGAAAAGAACCAAGUCUGAUGGUACAAAGUUCGGAUGCCGACCUCUGUAUUCUCGAGAUGAACAGCUGUUGAUAGGCUUGAGCGUUUCUGCCGUUGUGAUAAUAUCCUUGGCAUGCUUUUUGGCUAUGCAAUUACAAAGAAAAAAGCACAGGAAGGAGAAAGACGAGUAUUUCAAACAAAAUGGAGGGCUCAUGUUAUAUGAUGAGAUGAGGUCAAGGCAGGUUGACACCGUCCGCAUACUCACAGAAAAGGAGAUCAAGAUAGCCACUGACAACUACAACGAAGAUCGAGUUCUUGGAUGCGGCGGCCAUGGAAUGGUCUACAAGGGUACUUUGGAUGACCUCAGAGAGGUUGCUAUAAAGAAGUCCAAAGUGAUUGAUGAUGAUUGCAGGGACGAGUUCGUAAAUGAGAUCAUAAUCUUGUCGCAGAUCAACCACCGGAACAUCGUGAGGUUAUUAGGCUGUUGCCUGGAUAUAGAUGUCCCAGUGUUGGUAUAUGAGUUCGUCUCCAAUGGGACACUAUAUGAGUUUCUUCAUGGUGGGCCUGAUCACAAUCUGUCACCAAUUCCACUUGAUCUCCGCCUGAAGAUCGCCACACAAUCAGCAGAAGCUCUUGCUUACCUGCACUCAUCGACAUCCCGCACAAUUUUGCACGGGGAUGUCAAAUCCGCCAACAUUCUGCUCGACGAUCAGCGCCACGCCAAGGUUGCAGACUUUGGAGCAUCGGCGCUCAAGUCCAUGGACGAAAGCGAGUUCAUCAUGCUCGUCCAGGGAACCCUCGGCUACCUCGACCCUGAGAGCUUCAUCAGCCAUGUCCUCACCGACAAGAGUGAUGUGUACAGCUUUGGUGUCGUUCUCCUCGAGCUGUUGACGAGGAAGAGGGCUCUGUAUGCCGAUAGGUCCUCCAAGGAGAAGAGAUCCUUGUCCCAUAGUUUCCUCCUGAUGUUCGACCAGAACAUGCACCUGAAGAUGCUCGACUCUGAGAUCGCAGAGGAUGCCGCCGCUAUGGUGGUCGUUGAGAAGCUCGCGGCCCUCGCCGUGCACUGCCUGAGCGUGAGAGGAGGCGACAGGCCGACGAUGAAGGAAGUCGCGGAGCGGCUGCAGGUGCUGUGGAGGAUCCAGAUGCGCCAGGCCGGUGAUGGUGACAAGGAUGAUGACUUCGGUGGAGGAUCCCUGUCGCCGGUGGUUCUUCCUUCGGCCGAGGUGACAGAUGGGAGCUUGGAGACGUGA